rnacentral:tRNA from 1 species
UAAAAGAUAAGCUAAAAAAGCUACUAGGUUCAUACCCUAUUUAUAGAAGUUCAAUCUUCUUCUUUUAA